UUUAUACUCUCAUAAGCAUCAAAGGGCAUUGGGAACAUACGAGCAAGCAUUUGGCAAUUUGGUAGUUCAUCUUCCACAUCAUCUAAAUAGGCUAGCGCCUUCAUAAACUUAGGCGUAUUGGCUUCAGUUGAAGGUACCUGAAGGGAAUUAGCUAGUCUCGAACACGUCAAUUUGAGAUAUGUACCAAGAUUUGGACUUUUUCUGAAUCGCAAAAAGCCAAUUUUCCAUCGCAAGAACAAGUACAGCUAUACAAGCUUGAUGGAAGAAAAUCCAAUGCUACAUCCUUUCCCAUUGUAAGAAAGACGACGAGCGAUGUUGAAGCCAGGUGAACAAUUCCAUCAAAUGCGUUAAAGUUCAGUGCCUUGCGCAAUGCUAGUUGAGAAAGACUUGCAUGAAAAAUCCACUAAAAUAGCUGUAAACAAGAUGAUAUUGGACUAGAAUUUUGCUUCAUCUUAUAAAACUUAGCAACAAUGCGAUGGUGUUAUCGGUCCGCUUUACUGUCUGCAAACACUGACACCUGAAACAACUAAAACCAACAGGUAUAUACAGUGAAGAACAAAAAGAGAGAAAAAGGAAAACCACUCUUUAUAACUCUCUUGACUCCAACAGGAUCCCGAAAAAAGUUACCCUAUAUAAAACGAUAAUUGUGAAUUUUAGAAAAUGUACAGUUUACUCAAGGUCAGCUUCAUCACGUAGCCGUUUUAAAGGACCUCUGCUGUCAUUUUCGGCGACGAUUCUUUCAAUAAUCUUACUUUUCGAAUGAGCGUAUUGAAUUUUCUUAUUAAAGAUGUUAGUCAAUCGUUUUUGUUUUUUUAUGGGGAUUAAUGAGAAAGCUCAUUUCACAGCAUACCAUUUCCUUUCCGAAGAAUAUGAAAUUUUUUAAGGCCUUCAUCGCAAUUGCAGCGGCAGAGGGAUCAAAGAAUACAACAUGAGCUUGACCUCUCAUCUUGGGAGUUUUCAACGCGACAAUAUCAACCACGGUCCCAUAAGUGGAGAAUAGCAUAUAUAGUGCUGUUCUUAAAUCAUUUUUAUUAAUUUUAUCAUUCAAAUUAUUCACAUAAAGUGUAUUUUGAUUCAUUUUCGCCCUAGUUUGGUGUUUUGCAAAUGCUGAACUCUUUACCUUAUAUUUUUACCUGCAAACACUGCGCGCUAACAAUCGCUAUGAGUUAACUUAUUGAAUGGAUUGUUGAAAAGGCUCGUCUUAAUUACAUUAAAAUGCUAAAGCUUUUACAUUUUUAAUUUAUCUUUUAAGGCUAUAAAUAUCCAUAUUUAAUUUUCCGGAACGAAAUAUGUUUAUUUGCAAUUCUACGACCAUUGAACGCUAGUCAUCUGAAUUAUGAUUCAAGUCACAAUUAUUUUUAGAGAUCC